UAUUUGUCAUUCUUCUUCUUUCUGUCUCUCUUCUCUUUCUUCUAUCUCUGUUCUUCUUCUGUUGGAGACCGAGAGAUGAUUUUGAGGUAGGCUUGAGAGAAUUAUUUUUUGAGCGAGAGAAGAUUAAGUAGAAGAUGUUGAUGUUAUUGUGUUGUGGUAAUUGAACUUAAGAGGAAGUUUAUUCGAGAAAUUAGCGAGUUAGGGUUUCUGGAUGUGAUGUUAGAUUUGUAUAGAGCUGAUGAUGAUGAAUUUGUUUUUUUAUUGAAUGAAGAGCAACUGGGUCGUUUUUUAAUUGAUGUUGUGGAAUAGUUUUGAGAAGAAAUUGAAGAGUUAGGGUUUCUGAGAUGGAAUCGAAGUUUAGGGUUCAUGAAACCAAUCGAUGUUGAUGUAAUCAAGAAGUUAGAAGAUGAUUUUGUUCUUAAUUGACGUUUGUUUGAAGCUGCAGUGUCGUUUGAGGAUUGAAUCAGAAAGCUAGGGUUUGAGUUGGGUUUCAUGCAUGGAAGAACUGAGUUGUAGAUUGAUGAUUAGAAGUGGGUUUAGUUUCAAUUAGGUUAUGAGAGUGGGGGAUUGUUGUUAGUCUGAGUUGAUGGGUUGUUGAGUAUGAGAUGAAUUUCUGAAUCCAGUUAAAAAGAAGAAGAACCUAAAUUCAAUUGCUUGAGUGGAAUCUUCUUGAGGUAAUUGUCUUCUCAACAACUUAGUAAAUCUAUCAAUUUCAGUUAAUGAUUUUAUGGAUUACAGAUAUUGUAAAGUAUGAAUUGAAACUAAAAAUUAUGUCAAGUGUGUUGGGGAUUGGUUCUGUGGUUAGUCUCAACUGAAAUUGCAGAAAGAUAGGAGUAUGAAUGUUACAGAUUAUAGUGAUGGUUGUUUUACUUGAGAUGCAGAUUUACUUGAGAUGAAGUUAUGUGUAUCUGAAUUGAGAAAUGGAGUUUAAGGAAGGUGUUGCUGCUAUUGUUGUUAUGGUUUGUAUGAAUUAGUGAUUACAAGAGAUUGUAUGAGUACCUGUGGUUAUUAUGAUCUCAAUUGAAGUAGCACUAUGAUUGAAUUACAGGUCCAGUGGACUGGAUGGUGUAUGUUUGAACUGGUGGUGGUCAUUGGUGGUGGUGGUUUUGCCAGUUACAGGAUAUGGGAGAAGUUUAUGAUGCAGUGUUUUGCAAUGGGUCUGUAAUAUAAGUGGUUGUCUGUGUAAGUAAUUACAGUUUGUUGAGUUUGACAGAUGUUGUUGAGAUGUGGAAGUGGAUGGCUAGGGUUGUAUUUGAUCUUACUUAAAGUUGUUAAUUAAUUCAAUGAAUGAUAAAUGAACCUUAGAUGUAUGGAGCAUGAGCUCUAUGUAACUGGAAUUGUAAGUAGUGCUGAUUGGAUGCAAAGAACUGGGGUUGCAGUUGAUAUGGAUUAUUGUAGCUGUAUUGAUAUGAACUGCUGGUGGAGUUGAAAUAGAAGAUGUGAUGAAUGUAUGGCUGUGAGAAUGAUUACAAGUGCAAGAGAAUGUGUUUGGAGUUGGAAUUGGGUAUGGUGCUGUUAUUAGAAUCUCUGAGCUUGUAUCUCAGAUGAUGAAGAGGUGUGUUGGUUUUAGUUAGUGGUGGUUUUAGUGGAAUCUUGUUGUUGUAGGGGAGAUGCAAGUGCAGAGCAUGGAUGUUGGAGUUAGACUUGAGCUGAGAUGGGUAGUGAGUGAACUAAAGUAAGAAGAAUGAGAUAGUAAAGAUGUAGAUAUUGGUAACUGUAUGGUUGUAGAUGGCAACUUCAGUGAAGGCUUGCAUCUGAUGUUGCAGUUAGUCUGUAUUAACAACGAUCAAUUCAAAGGAUGAACCAGUGGAUUGUGGAUUUCGAGGUGGGCAUGACUUGUCAUCAAAAGAGUUUCAGAGAAAGAUGCAGAGUUGCGCAGCGAAAGCAUCGAGGAUUUGAUUUCGUUUGUUAGUUUACUUCGGCUAUGUUUAUUAUGUUGUAUAUUCUAUUUGUAAACCAAAUGACUAUUGUAUAUGUAUCAUUUGAGAGAAGUUCUUGUAUAUAUAUUUCUGAGCGGGGCUAGUUCUUGGGUUAUGUUUUUGUAGCAGAUUUCUUAAUCGAAUGUUUAAGUAAUUGAUUUAGAUUA